rnacentral:misc_RNA from 1 species
ACGGACAUCAACGACUACCAGGUGAAAAUGCGCAACGUUUUCAAGUUUCUUGAAAACGGCGACAAAGUGAAAAUCACGCUGCGGUUCCGUGGUCGCGAAAUGGCACACCAGGAAUUGGGCCGUCAAUUGUUGGAGCGUGUUGCCGAAGACACCAAGGAAACCGGCAAGGUCGAGAACUUCCCGAAAAUGGAAGGCCGUCAGAUGGUUAUGCUGAUCGGACCACUGACGAAGUAAAGCUGAAACGUUUUGAAUGAAAAAAGCCCCCGCAAUCGCGGGGGCUUUUUGGUUCAGGCCGCAGCGGUGACCGC